AUGGGUGACCGGGAUCCACGCCAAUGGUGCCAGCAUCGCCUACGCGCCAUCGGGCUCCGGGCGGCCGUGACCCCGCUGGAGUGCGGGAGGGACCUCCAGCCCCCCGGGGGGUCCCUGACUCUGCUCUGUCGCCCCUCCGGGUUCACAUUUGGGAAUAAUGGCAUGUACUGGAUCCGUCAGAGCCCCGGGAAGGCGCUGGAAUAUGUCACAGGGAUCUACAGCAGUGGCAGCACCUUCUACGCGCCGUCUGUCAAGGGCCGGUUCUCGAUCUCCAGGGACAACACGCAGAGCUCGGUGACGCUGACCAUGAACAACCUCAAGGAAGAGGAUUCCGCCGUUUAUUUCUGCGUCAAAGCUUCCUGUUCUGGUUGUACUCCUGAAGCUGGUUAUGUCUCCCCCGGUUGCCCCAAUGGUCACCACUGA